rnacentral:rRNA from 1 species
GCCUGAUGCAGCCAUGCCGCGUGAGGGAAGAAGGCCUUCGGGUUGUAAACCUCUUUUAGCAGGGAAGAAGCGAAAGUGACGGUACCUGCAGAAAAAGCACCGGCUAACUACGUGCCAGCAGCCGCGGUAAUACGUAGGGUGCAAGCGUUGUCCGGAAUUAUUGGGCGUAAAGAGCUCGUAGGCGGUUUGUCGCGUCUGCUGUGAAAACGCGAGGCUCAACCUCGCGCCUGCAGUGGGUACGGGCAGACUUGAGUGCGGUAGGGGAGAUUGGAAUUCCUGGUGUAGCGGUGGAAUGCGCAGAUAUCAGGAGGAACACCGAUGGCGAAGGCAGAUCUCUGGGCCGUUACUGACGCUGAGGAGCGAAAGCGUGGGGAGCGAACAGGAUUAGAUACCCUGGUAGUCCACGCCGUAAACGUUGGGAACUAGAUGUGGGGUCCAUUCCACGGAUUCCGUGUCGCAGCUAACGCAUUAAGUUCCCCGCCUGGGGAGUACGGCCGCAAGGCUAAAACUCAAAGGAAUUGACGGGGGCCCGCACAAGCGGCGGAGCAUGCGGAUUAAUUCGAUGCAACGCGAAGAACCUUACCAAGGCUUGACAUGCACCUGAAAAGGCUGGAAACAGUCUCCUCGCAAGACA